GGCUUGUGACUUGCAGAGGUUGCUCCAGGCAUGCGUGCAGGUCUGGGAGAACCCCAGUUUCUAGGCACCCCCUCACUCCUCUUUUCUGCCAAUCCCCUUAGUAAAUGUGUGGACUCAGCACCUUCUUGGGGUCCUCUAGGCUCUGGCUUCAGACAAGUCCGCAUGCCCCACGUUGGUUCUGCUGGCAAAGCAAAGCAGCCUGAGGAAAAGUUGUUCUCCCAUUUUGCAGAUGAGAAGAAUGGACCUCAGAGAAGUAACUGGUCCACAGAAGUGGAGCUGGAAUUGAAGCUCAGGUCUGUGGGCUCUGGAAGCCACACUCUUCCACUGCGCAUCGUGCAGAGCUGGCGGAAGGCAGAGUGACCAGAAGCAUUUUGUUGAAACUACAGUCCUCAGUAUCUAUGUGUCCUGCAUGUGGAGAUUCAAGCAAAUGCAGAUCAAAAAUAUUCGAAAAAAUUAAAAUACAACAAUAACAGCCUGGCGUGGUGGCUCACACUGUAAUCUCAGUGCUUUGGGAGGCUGAGGCAGGAUCAUCACUGGAGCCCAGGAGUUUAAGACCAGCCUGGGCAAUAUGGUGAAACCCUGUCUCUACAAAAAAAAAAAAAAUAGCCGGGCAUGGUGGCAAGCGCCUGUAGUCCCAGCUACUUGGGAGGUUGAAGUAGAAGGAUCGCCGGGACCCUGGAUGUCAAGGCUGCAGUGAGCCGAGACGGCGCCACGGCAUUCCGGCCUGGGUGACAAAGUGAGGGCUCGUGUCCAAGAAACAACAACAACAAGCAAACAAAAAAUACAGUAAUAAGAAACAACACACAUUUCUCAAAACAAUACAGAAUAACAACUAUUUACAUAGCAUUUAUGUCGUAUUUGGUAUCAUACGUAAUCUACAGAUGAUUUAAAGUACAUAGGAGAUGUGUAUGGGUUACAUGCAAAUACAACUCUUUUUCUAAGAGACAGGGUCUUAUUUUGUCAUUCAGGCUGGAGUGCAGUGGCACAGUCACAGCUCACUGCAGCCUCAAACUCUUGAGACCAAGUGAUCUUUUCACCUCGGCCUCUCGAGUAGCUGGGACCACAGGUGCACACCACCACAUCUGGCUAAUUUUGUUUUGUAGAGGCAGAGUCUUGCUAUGUUGCCCAGGCUGGUCUUGAACUCCUGGCCUCAAUUGAUUCUCCCGAAGUGCUGGGAUUUCAGGUAUAAGCCACUGCGCCUGAUCCACAUUUUGUAUUCUCUGGGCAUCCACGGAGUUGGUGUCCAAGAGGUUUCUGGAACCAAUCCCCCACAAAUGCUGCGGGACCACCGUGCUGACCACGCUGAUUGACCCUAAAGCAUUUCUCAUGUGACUAGUAGAUGGACAUUAACUGUUUGGUACCCUCCCUUUGUCACUGAUGCACAACGUGUGAAAUGUCUGUGGUGAUGUCUUCAGUCAGACUGAUGUUUUAGUUUCCGUUUUGAUUUUUAGUGAAUGUGACUAAAUCUAUUGACAUCAAUAAAUUUUCACUUGUGAUCUGGCA
rnacentral:lncRNA from 13 species